rnacentral:rRNA from 1 species
UACGUAGGGACCGAGCGUUGUCCGGAUUCAUUGGGCGUAAAGAGCUCGUAGGCGGCUGCUCAAGUCGAAUGUGAAAACUCGAGGCUCAACCUCGAGCCUGCAUUCGAUACUGGGCGGCUAGAGUCUGGUAGGGGGAUCUGGAAUUCCUGGUGUAGCGGUGGAAUGCGCAGAUAUCAGGAGGAACACCGGUGGCGAAGGCGGGAUCCUGGAGCUUUGCUGACGCUGAUGCGCGAAAGCGUGGGGAGCGAUCCGG